CCUACAAAACACAAUUGGCCAAAUGGAUAAUUUUCUUCUCAAAAACACAUUUUGUUAAAUAUAUACUAAAUCUUCAUUUCAAAAUAGAACACAUCUUUCUCUGCACACACCAACUUUACCAAAACACUGGAAAUCUGACUCAAAAUUAAAUUAUUCUGUCAAAGAAUAACACUUGUUUUCACCUCAAAAGGUACAUGCAGUCAAUCAAAGUACACCAGGUUUCAAAAUACUGGCUAUUGUUGACAUUACAAAAACUGCAUAGACUUUUCAGUCUCAGAAAACAUGCAAUUCACUGUUUUACACUAAAUUUAUUGGUUAGGAACUGUAUGUCCAAAUGUACAGUAAUGUUCACAUUCAAAAGCAUUCCAGUAAAAAGCUAUUUUUUUCCUUUACUCUUUACUGCAGGAGGUACAGUAGAAACACGGUAUGAUAGAACAGAAAAGGUUUGACAGUAUUGCUUACAGUGAACAAAAUAUCCAUGAAACACAUGAGAGCAUUCUGAACAAAAAAUGACAACAGCAAAAAGCUCAGAUAUAAAAACUAAAGAAAAAAAGGGGGGGGGGGGGGG